GGAAACGUGCCUGAAAGUCAAGGAUCUCUUUGAUAGAGAGAAAAAUAGGGGUUCAAACCCCCUCAUUUCCU
rnacentral:tRNA from 1 species